rnacentral:rRNA from 1 species
ACCGGCAGCUCAAGUGGUGGCCAUUAUUAUUGGGCCUAAAGCGUUCGUAGCCGGUUUGAUAAGUCUCUGGUGAAAUCCCGCAGCUUAACUGUGGGAACUGCUGGAGAUACUAUCAGACUUGAGGUCGGGAGAGGUUAGGGGUACUCCCAGGGUAGGGGUGAAAUCCUAUAAUCCUGGGAGGACCACCUGUGGCGAAGGCGCCUAACUUUUUCGGACCUGACGUUGAGUAACGAAAGCCAGGUUCGCGAUCCG